GCCUUCACUUGACAUUCUUCUAGUGGUUGCUCUCUAAACAGUGUAGCCCUGAUGUUUUGGUCUAUCAUAGAUUAAUAUCCUUCUUGAAAUAUUGAAGAAUCUCAGAACAGAUGUCGCCACCAGGUUUUCUCCACAGGGAUCAGGACCUCCGCAGAAGAGGAGGCAGAAAGAUUUUAACUCAUUGGGGAUAGAGAACACCAAAGAAACAACGCAUUCCAGACACAGGACUGAUAUUUAAGCCAGAUGGGGUCCCAGGCCUGAGACAUGACACCAUGCCUAAGCCAGAAGCUAUCUCCAAAUGAUUACUACCUACAAAGCAAAAACUAGUUUUCUACAAAAGACUCGCUGGAUAUACUAGUUACACUCAUGGAUAAGUCCCAUGCCCAGCAGAAUUAUGCAUGGAGUUAGAUGGAAGCAGAAACUGGAUGAAGAUUCAAUCUGCCAAAGAGAAGACAGACUAUCCUGCAACAUUAAAUGAACAUGAAGAGGACAAGACACUUUGCCUCACAACUACAGGAACACAAAUGUAGUUCUGGAAGAAUGUUUUUACCAGCUAGGCUAGCUGGGGACGCAUGUGUACACACACACACACACACACACACACAAAAUGGUGAGAAGAGAUUUAAAUAGCUUAACAAUUCUGAAAAACUGCUAAGAAUAUGUAUGGAAUAGAAGGAAAAGAGGACAAAGAGAAGGAAAAUAAAGAUGGCAACGAAGGGUCUCUUUGCAGCAGUCCAGCAUAUGUUGGACUAGUUUACACACAGACAAAGAACAUUUGUUACCUAAUGAGCUAUGUAUACAAGUUGCUUGAAUCAGAUGAAUGUAUUCCAAAGUAACUAUCCGUCUCUAAUUCUGCAUUGUACUUUGCUGGCUUCCACAACACUGUUCAUGUAUAAAUUACCCACUCCCUUUUAGCACAUUUGGCAAGCACUAAGUAUUUGUUUGAAGGAACAAAUGAAGGCAUAAAUUCUAAAGUAUACU